rnacentral:rRNA from 1 species
UCGAACGCGAAAGCUCCCUUCGGGGAGCAAGUAGAGUGGCGCACGGGUGAGUAACACGUAGGUAAUCUACCUUCGGAUGGGGAAUAACAACCGGAAACGGUUGCUAAUACCGCAUAAUGCAGCGGCACCUAAUGGUGACAGUUGUUAAAGCGGGGGAUCGAAAGACCUCGCGUCUGAAGAGGAGCCUGCGGCGGAUUAGCUAGUUGGUAGGGUAACGGCCUACCAAGGCGACGAUCCGUAGCCGGCCUGAGAGGGCGGUCGGCCACACUGACACUGACAUACGGGUCAGACUCCUACGGGAGGCAGCAGUCGGGAAUUUUGGCAAUGGGCGAAAGCCUGACCCAGCAACGCCGCGUGAAGGAUGAAAUCCUUCGGGAUGUAAACUUCGCAAGAACGGGAAGAAUAAGUCUGCGCAAAUAUCGCAGGCGAUGACGGUACCGUUUGUAAGCUCCGGCUAACUCCGUGCCAGCAGCCGCGGUAAUACGGGGGGAGCAAGCGUUGUUCGGAUUUACUGGGCGUAAAGGGCGCGUAGGCGGCCACUGCAAGUCAGUUGUGAAAUCUCCGGGCUUAACCCGGAAAGGUCAACUGAUACUGCAGGGCUAGAGUGCAGAAGGGGCAACUGGAAUUCUCGGUGUAGCGGUGAAAUGCGUAGAUAUCGAGAGGAACACCUGCGGCGAAGGCGGGUUGCUGGGCUGACACUGACGCUGAAGUGCGAAAGCUAGGGGAGCGAACGGGAUUAGAUACCCCGGUAGUCCUAGCCUUAACGAUGAAUGCUUGGUGUCU